GCCCACGCCUCCCAGGGGUUGCAGGCCUGGGCGCCGGGGUUGGACCAGUCUCCCGGGCAUGGCACGCCCUGGUUUGGUGUGUACCCAUGGUUUGUGGCGGGGCAAGACGUUAAGUUGGGUGACACCGAGGUGAGCCACGGUCCUUGGCACCAGAUGAGGAACCACUGUCUCAAUAAGUGACACCAGUGAUGCUGUUAAACAAGGACAGUCCGGUUCAUGGAUUGUGACAACGCACGCUGACAUCAAGCAGACCCUGCCGUCAGGUACAGAGGGCACCACAGUGACCAGGAACUGCUGUCCUUUCAUACCAGGUUUUAGGAGACUUUACCAGAAGGAAUGGAAAAUGCUGGUGGGCAGUAAGAUUGAAACAGCAUCUGAGGACUGGUUCUGCACAAAACCUUAAAUUCUUCAAGGACUUUGACAUUUGUUUAUUCUUGUAACAAAUUAAAACCUAUCCUGUGUGUUGGUUAGAGAUCUUCAAACUGUAAAUACCUUGAGGCAGGAGUGAGGUUUUUAUCUUCUAAAGGACAGGCCCCUACUCUCCUACGUAAUGAGUUUCUAAAAAUGGAUGUGAGCACCAAUCAAUAUUUCUCUGGUUGUUAAAGUCAAGAAUAAAAUGGUAUUUUUAAGCUUGCAACUGUGUAGGAUGAAUUCUGUACACUUUUAUUUCCCUCUGUUCUCCUUUCCUAUUUGAAAGUUUAUUAGUUUGUGGACUUGGGAUCAGAUUAUUCAUGCAUUAUUUUUUGAUGUUGUAUGUCUUUUGGUUCUAGGGUAUUUUUGACACAUAUUCUGUCUUGUAACCAUAGUUAAACAAUUGUUUUAGACCAACUCUCUGUGUGUAAUUGGCUUCAACACUCACUGCUAGUCCUUUGAUGCUCUGUUUUUUUCCUUUCUUGAGUAAUUUUAAGUCAUCACUUGGGCAGUUGAAAUAUAUUUUAAAGUGAUUUAAAGAAUAUGUGAGUGGCAGACAUUCUGAACUCUUUUGGUUGUCUGUCCUCAAAAACUAAAACUUAUUUGUGAGUAAAAUUUUCAUCUAAGUGUUUUCCAUAUAAAAACUCUGUAAGCUACUGCUCCAUUGUAGUAGACACAAAAAAGUCAGCACAAUUUUC
rnacentral:lncRNA from 1 species